rnacentral:rRNA from 1 species
AUUGAACGCUGGCGGCAUGCCUUACACAUGCAAGUCGAACGGCAGCACAGGAGAGCUUGCUCUCUGGGUGGCGAGUGGCGGACGGGUGAGGAAUACAUCGGAAUCUACUCUGUCGUGGGGGAUAACGUAGGGAAACUUACGCUAAUACCGCAUACGACCUACGGGUGAAAGCAGGGGACCUUCGGGCCUUGCGCGAUUGAAUGAGCCGAUGUCGGAUUAGCUAGUUGGCGGGGUAAAGGCCCACCAAGGCGACGAUCCGUAGCUGGUCUGAGAGGAUGAUCAGCCACACUGGAACUGAGACACGGUCCAGACUCCUACGGGAGGCAGCAGUGGGGAAUAUUGGACAAUGGCGCAAGCCUGAUCCAGCCAUACCGCGCGGGUGAAGAAGGCCUUCGGGUUGUAAAGCCCUUUUGUUGGGAAAGAAAUCCAGCUGGCUAAUACCCGGUUGGGAUGACGGUACCCAAAGAAUAAGCACCGGCUAACUUCGUGCCAGCCGCCGCCGUAA